CUAAUACCGCAUAAGCGCACAGGACCGCAUGGUCUAGUGUGAAAAACUCCGGUGGUGUGAGAUGGACCCGCGUUUGAUUAGCUAGUUGGUGGGGUAACGGCCUACCAAGGCGACGAUCAAUAGCCGGCCUGAGAGGGUGACCGGCCACAUUGGGACUGAGACACGGCCCAAACUCCUACGGGAGGCAGCAGUGGGGAAUAUUGUACAAUGGGGGAAACCCUGAUGCAGCGACGCCGCGUGAGUGAAGAAGUAUUUCGGUAUGUAAAGCUCUAUCAGCAGGGAAGAAAAUGACGGUACCUGACUAAGAAGCCCCGGCUAACUACGUGCCAGCAGCCGCGGUAAUACGUAGGGGGCAAGCGUUAUCCGGAUUUACUGGGUGUAAAGGGAGCGUAGACGGUAAAGCAAGUCUGAAGUGAAAGCCCGGGGCUCAACCCCGGGACUGCUUUGGAAACUGUUUAACUAGAGUGCUGGAGAGGUAAGCGGAAUUCCUAGUGUAGCGGUGAAAUGCGUAGAUAUUAGGAGGAACACCAGUGGCGAAGGCGGCUUACUGGACAGUAACUGACGUUGAGGCUCGAAAGCGUGGGGAGCAAACAGGAUUAGAUACCCUGGUAGUCCACGCCGUAAAC
rnacentral:rRNA from 1 species